AAGGAGAAACAAGAAGCGAGCUUACGGUUGAGUUUCCUCUUGCGAGACUCCAUGGAGUCGAAAGAAGCUGCAUAAACUGGUGCCACUGUUGCCAUGUUCUGAGCAAAGGAAUACAACUUGUUAGCUUUCUUUACAAGUUAACUUAUAAACAGAGAGAUCAGCCCAAAUCUAAACAACCCUAAAUAAAAAAUGAUGAAAGACAUUAAAGUUAUCAUCUUUGGAUACCCAAUCGCAGAAAACCUUCGUCGAUCAACAAGUAAAGAUCGUACGGAACCCAAACACUAGAGGAAAAUUGCUCCGCAAGCAAAGCAAAUAAUGAAAACCCUAGUUUCCGAAACCACACCUCGAAAGUAUCAAACUAAAACCUAAAAGAACAGCAACGAAAGAGAGAAAGUAAAA